rnacentral:rRNA from 1 species
CGUCAAGUCCUCAUGGCCCUUAUGACCAGGGCUUCACACGUCAUACAAUGGUUAGUACAGAGGGUAGCCAAGCCGCGAGGCGGAGCCAAUCUCAGAAAGCUAAUCGUAGUCCGGAUUGCACUCUGCAACUCGAGUGCAUGAAGUCGGAAUCGCUAGUAAUCGCAGGUCAGCAUACUGCGGUGAAUACGUUCCCGGGUCUU